rnacentral:rRNA from 1 species
AGUUGGUAAGGUAAUAGCUUACCAAGGCUAUGACGGGUAGGGGACCUGAGAGGGUGGCCCCCCACAAUGGAACUGAAACACGGUCCAUACACCUACGGGUGGCAGCAGUAGGGAAUAUUAGUAAUGGGCGAAAGCCUGAACUAGCAACGCCGCGUGUGCGAAGAAGGCCUUCGGGUUGUAAAGCACUUUUAGAGAGGAUGAGGAAGGACGGUACUCUCAGAAUAAGUCUCGGCUAACUACGUGCCAGCAGCCGCGGUAACACGUAGGAGGCGAACGUUAUCCGGAUUUACUGGGCGUAAAGCGCGUGUAGGUGGUUUGGUAAGUAGGGCGUGAAAGCUCCCGGCUCAACUGGGAGAGGCCGUUCUAAACUGCCAAGCUAGAGGAUGGUAGAGGGAGGUGGAAUUCCGGGUGUAGCGGUGGAAUGCGCAGAUAUCCGGAGGAACACCAGUGGCGAAGGCGGCCUCCUGGGCCACUCCUGACACUCAGACGCGAAAGCUAGGGUAGCAAACGGGAUUAGAGACCCCGGUAGUCCUAGCCCUAAACGAUGUAGACUUGGCGUCGGUGGUUUAAACGCCAUCGGUGUCGCAGCUAACGC